rnacentral:rRNA from 1 species
GUGGCCUGUGAGUAGUCCUCUGCGCCCAUGUGACCUUUGAUAACUUGUACCUUACUGAUGGUCGGCGCCGCGGGUCUCUAGAACGCCCUUCUUGCGGCGAGGACCCGGACGCCGGCGUACACGUUAACUCUUUUUUUUACACUGAAACUCUGAGAAAAAACCUAGUAAUCUGAACCUUUCAACUUCGGAUCUCUUGGUUCUGGUAUCGGAAAGAACGCUUCGGAAUUCGAUAAAAAAUGUGAAUUGCUGAAUUCAGUGAAUCAUCGAACCUUUGAACGCCCAUUGCGCCGUCUGGUAUUCCGGAGGGCAUGCCUGUUCAUUCUUCAUUUCAACCCUCAAGCAUUGCUGGUUCUUCGGGCACUGCUUUUGACCAAUCGGGCCCUGAAAUCUUUUGACAACUGCACCAGGACCCCGAACGCAGCAGAUAAACCCUCUCUUUGGAACGCACUGGUUUUGCCCUGCCGUUAAACCGCCAACUUUUGGAAAUUUGACCUCGGAUCAGGUAAUAAUACACGCUGAACUUCGGAUAUCGUAAGAAAGGAGGAAUGAACUUAAGCAUAUCAAUAAGCGGGAGGAA